UAGAAAACCCCUAACCCGGCUCAAAAAGACUCAUCCUAAAACCAGCAAACAGCCCUAAGAUAUCCUUUCUUCAUCAUAUUCAAACUGAACCAAAACCAGAGAUUCCAUCAUUUCAAUUAUGAUAACCUCGCCGAUUUUGUGGUGUUUUGUAAUGACCCUUACGGUCAUUUUUCUGUAUUUUUCAUAUAAUUUUAGUACUAUCUAAAUAUAUUGUAGAUUCUUUAUUUUAAUUUGACAUUUGGUAGAAAUGUAAUUUACUACCCUUCUAGAAUAUUUUUGAUAUUUGUAAAAUUCUUUAAGUGAUGAUAUAUUUAUAUCACUUUAUAAUGGACUUUUAUGAUUUAUUAAUAUUUUAAGCAGAGAUAGUAAUUUUAGAAAUGUUAAAAUAUUAUUAUUAUAUAAUAGAAGUUUUGUUAGAAAUAAUUUUCUAUUAAUUAUGGUAUAUUCAAAAUAUUAUAAUUAUUUUACCAUGAAUUUAUGUAAUACCCGAUUUUAUACGCAAUGUAAAGAAAUUAAUUUAACCGUACACGUGGGAUGAAGUGUUGACAACAACAUUUUGUAGCUGCAGCCGCACACUUGUACAUUGGCCAUUUGGAAAGAUUUUUUUUUAUCUUCCUUUAUUUAUACAUAUAUUGGUAUAUAUAUAGACACAUGCAUAAUUGAUAGUAGGGUUAUUCAAUAAAUAUUUAUUUUUUCCUUUUAACAAAAGGCAACCAAGUGUCAUGUACUGCACGUUCCAAGAUUUGUGCGAAAAUAUUUUUGCACAAUUUGAGCACUUAAAUUAUUAGUUGAUUAUUCAAAUUCGGGUUCUAGCAGGAUAUUAUUCGAAAGCUUCGCGGACAUAUACUAGAGUUUUGACAUCCAGAUCCAGGUACUAGCAAUCGGCGUUGACGUGGUUCCUACCUUUCAGUGCUAGUUUAGAGCGGGGUGAGUUUACUGUCGUCCGAGGCUGAUCCUCCUCUACCUACUCUAGUUAGUCUUUUUCACUCGCGACUACUUGUGUACAUUUUAGAUUUUUGUCUAGUACUCUGGGUACCUGUUAGUAGUGGCUCUAGUACUGACCUUAUCAGGUCUUGGGAGGGAUUCAUUUGUAUAGUUGACCCUUUUUUCUCCUCUCGUUUUGAUAUAAUACAUAUGCUUUCUUCUUAGUUUUCACUUAUUAUUGUGGUUGUUAUUAUCAUACGCGAUCUUUUAUUUUGUCCAUGCCUAUUAGCCCGUUACUUAUCAUUCCGAGCUUUGGAUUGACUUGCCUACUGGUGGGAUAAGGUAGGCGCCAUCACGACUUAAGAAAUCGGGUCGUGACACUUUUGCAGACCUAACGAUUGUAAUAGUCUUCUCCAUCACUUCAAGAUGUGAAGUUUGAAGACUUCUUGCUCUUUUUCUCCCUCUCUUUUCAUUUUUAAAUUUUGAAUUUUUAGCUUCUUGAAAAAGCUGUUGGAGCUGCGUUUUUCCUAUAAAUACACCUCCCUAUUCAUUCAUUGAGGGGGAAAAGGGUUAGAAAAUUGAGGAAUUUUGAGUUUCAUACUGUUUCAAUCCCUAGAUUUUAUUGUUCUAUUUCAUAGUUUUUCAAUUAUCGUUCCUCCCAACUCUCGUUACUUUUCAUCGCUCGUACUCAAAGUUGGUGGAAAAUCGUUCAUCGACUCGGGGGGUUAAAAGGUUUACUACACGAAACAAGUUUGAAUUGAAUCUCUGAAGAAAAUCCCUAGUUCACUGCCCCAAGCAAGGUAAAUUCUAUCCCGUCUAAUCUUAUUAUAUUUAUCUUUUGAUAAUUCACUGAUCAUUUGAGUCUAUGAUUUCCAUUUGGCCUAUCAUAAACAUAAACCUAAGAUGAAAUAGUGUCUGGCUAUCCGAUUUUGCUCAUCAUCUAAUGUUUAUGGAAUAUCUUAGUUCGUGAUUCAGUUUGAAUAUAUUGAAAAUCAGAAGUCUCGAUUAAAGUAGAUUGCUCUAUCUUGGUUGGCUGCGAAUACACAUUCGAAGCAGUUACGUAUUGUGUGGUUGGUCGGGUUGUUAACUGUUGGUUUUGAAGAUGAAAAAUGUGAAACAAUAAUCUGUUUUGGCUUUCUGAUUCACUCCAGUUGGUUGGCUGGGAAUGCAUAUUUGAAGCAGUUAUGUAUCGUGUAGUUAGUCGGAUUGUAAACUGUUAGUUUUGAAGAUGAAAAACUUGAAACAAUAAUCUAUUUUGGCUUUCUGAUUCACUCAACUUGGAAACUUUUGCCUUUAAAUGUGCAAUAAUGUGUAGAUUACAGUAAACAAUUUGGUUUGGAAAGGUUAUGUCUGGUCGAAAAUGUAGAGCUAUGUUGAAUCAUUAUGUAGGCUCCAUUCUUAUCUCGUCUCUAUCACUUCCCAUCCUGUGUGCUCUUGUUGUGAAUACAUGAUUUUUCUUGGCUUCAAACUAUACUGAUUUUGCUAUCUGUUUUUGGUAAAUUGAGUAAGAAUAUGGCUUUGCCUUGAUUGUCCUUUGUUUCAAUAUAUAGUCGCUUUGCGUCUAAAUGUACGAAUAUGUAAAACUCUUCCUAUCUCCAUUGUUUCUGUUUUCCCUUUUAAUUACUACUAUUUGAAGGACUGAAACCACGCCGCUUGUCAAAUCUCUGCUUUCCAUAUGUCCGACGUAUUUCUUGCUUCCCUUGGUUGGAUCAAGAACAUGUGGAAGUGCUCAACUCUCUUUGAAUUCAUUAUCAUGUGAGGCUGUUUUCUGUAAUACCUGUGAUUAUAUACGAUUCCAAGAUGUCGAUGAAGUAUGCUUGAAUAUAAAGAACUAAGCUUAGAUAUGAAGUUUCAUUUUUUUUCCGGAAAUCUUAAAUCUACAAGUGUUACUGUCAUCUCGUUUCUUCCUGAAUAUGGUAUCUUGCAUUGAUAAGUUGUGAUAUGUGUUGUUUCCUAACAGGUUCUUUAAAUAAUAAAUGAUUUGACAUAAGUUAUAACCAGCAAAUGUAGACUAGGACCAAAA